AGAGUUUGAUCCUGGCUCAGGACGAACGCUGGCGGCGUGCCUAAUACAUGCAAGUAGAACGCUGAAGAGAGGAGCUUGCUCUUCUUGGAUGAGUUGCGAACGGGUGAGUAACGCGUAGGUAACCUGCCUUGUAGCGGGGGAUAACUAUUGGAAACGAUAGCUAAUACCGCAUAACAAUGGAUGACUCAUGUCAUUUAUUUGAAAGGGGCAAAUGCUCCACUACAAGAUGGACCUGCGUUGUAUUAGCUAGUAGGUGAGGUAACGGCUCACCUAGGCGACGAUACAUAGCCGACCUGAGAGGGUGAUCGGCCACACUGGGACUGAGACACGGCCCAGACUCCUACGGGAGGCAGCAGUAGGGAAUCUUCGGCAAUGGGGGCAACCCUGACCGAGCAACGCCGCGUGAGUGAAGAAGGUUUUCGGAUCGUAAAGCUCUGUUGUAAGUCAAGAACGAGUGUGAGAGUGGAAAGUUCACACUGUGACGGUAGCUUACCAGAAAGGGACGGCUAACUACGUGCCAGCAGCCGCGGUAAUACGUAGGUCCCGAGCGUUGUCCGGAUUUAUUGGGCGUAAAGCGAGCGCAGGCGGUUUGAUAAGUCUGAAGUUAAAGGCUGUGGCUCAACCAUAGUUCGCUUUGGAAACUGUCAAACUUGAGUGCAGAAGGGGAGAGUGGAAUUCCAUGUGUAGCGGUGAAAUGCGUAGAUAUAUGGAGGAACACCGGUGGCGAAAGCGGCUCUCUGGUCUGUAACUGACGCUGAGGCUCGAAAGCGUGGGGAGCGAACAGGAUUAGAUACCCUGGUAGUCCACGCCGUAAACGAUGAGUGCUAGGUGUUGGAUCCUUUCCGGGAUUCAGUGCCGCAGCUAACGCAUUAAGCACUCCGCCUGGGGAGUACGACCGCAAGGUUGAAACUCAAAGGAAUUGACGGGGGCCCGCACAAGCGGUGGAGCAUGUGGUUUAAUUCGAAGCAACGCGAAGAACCUUACCAGGUCUUGACAUCCC
rnacentral:rRNA from 1 species